UACGUAGGGGGCUAGCGUUGUCCGGAUUUAUUGGGCGUAAAGAGCGUGUAGGCGGCCAGGUAGGUCUGCUGUGAAAACUCGAGGCUCAACCUCGAGACGUCGGCGGAAACCAUCUGGCUAGAGUCCGGAAGAGGAGAGUGGAAUUCCUGGUGUAGCGGUGAAAUGCGCAGAUAUCAGGAAGAACACCCGUGGCGAAGGCGGCUCUCUGGGCCUUACCUGACGCUCAGGUGCGAAAGCUAGGGGAGCGAACAGG
rnacentral:rRNA from 1 species